rnacentral:misc_RNA from 1 species
AAAUUUUUCCAGAAAACUGCUUUAGAUUUCCACAAGUAAAUAGGCUCUAUGUAUUUCCCUUCUUUUUACUUUCUAAGACUUUGUCUCAUCUCAUACGGCAUCUAUUAUCGGGUUAUGAAAAUCUUGUUGUAUACUUUUACCAUAAUACUUCAACAUGUUGUCCUGCUUGUCAAACAGCCCCUUCUGUCUUUGAUUAGCGAGUCUUCCAAAUGACUUCACUUUGCUCUUAGCUAGUUAUGGCUUUUCCCAGUGCAAUCUUUUUCCAAUUGCCUUGUGGUGCAUAUACUGUAAAGGUGUAAGAGAAAAAGAAGGGGAUUAUUUGUAUGCUUGGUGAGUGGUGACCUUUGAACUUGAAAAAUUGACUCUACAGUUAAUGGGCAUUGAAAGAGAGUAUGCUUUUUCUUUUUCAACUGAAGGUUAUCAAACGAUGGUAAAUUGGACUGGGUUUUGUUAAUGUUUUGUUUGGUUUUAAUUUUACUUAAAGUAAGAAUGGCCAAAGGCUCAAAUUGGCUCCUAAACUGUGUGAAAAACAAAUUCAAUUUGACCCUUAAAACAAAAUUUGGGUUCAAUUAGGCCCCUUAACUUAUAUUUAAGCUCAAUUUAUUUUAGCCCCAAUUUAAUGGAUUUAGUUACUUUUCUGUUAACUAGAGUAUGUGGAACCCACAAAAAUAAUAAAUAUAUCAGGAAAAAAAAAUCAAUCCCAGAUUUGUUCUUAAUCCAAAUAAAAUCUUCCCAAAAGAAGAAAUCUGCAGGGCUGGAAUUGAUCGUGAAGGGAAGGAUU